UACGUAGGGGGCGAGCGUUGUCCGAAGUUACUGGGCGUAAAGCGCGUGUAGGCGGGUCUUUUAAGUGAGUGGUGAAAGGUUCGGGCUCAACCCGGACACUGCCUUUCAUACUGGGGACCUUGAGUGCGGGAGAGGCGAGUGGAAUGGUCGGUGUAGCGGUGAAAUGCGUAGAUAUCGAUCGGAACACCCAUGGCGAAGGCAGGUCUCUGGGCCACUACUGACGCUGAGAAGCGAAAGCAUGGGGAGCGAACCGG
rnacentral:rRNA from 1 species